rnacentral:tRNA from 1 species
GCUGAGAUGUAGCUCAGUGGCAAAGCACUUGGCUUGCGUGCACAGAUGCCUGGGUUCAAGUCCCAGUUCCAUUA